UUUAAUAGAAAAUAUAAAGUAAUCCAGCAAAAACAAUUUAGUCACUUUCGGAAUGACAUCGAGCAGCUAGUGGCGCCAGAAUCAUCAGUCGAUUUAGUCACCGUCGCAGAAGCCCUUCACUGGUUCAACCUCACGACCUUUUACAGCAACGUAAAACACGUGCUCAAGAAACCCAACGGAGUAAUCGCUGCCUGGUGCUACACCAAUCCGGAGGUCAACGCCGCCGUGCACAAGGUUUUCCAACGGGUUUACGAGGAGAAAGUUGGCCCGUUUUGGGAUAAAGCGAGACGGCUUGUGGAGGAUGGGUACAGAGGAAUUGAGUUCCCGUUCGAGAAGGUGGAAUGUGGAUGAUGAUGAGUCAACGGAGAGUCAAAGUUAUCCGGUUAGGUUUGUGCCGGAGAAAGAAAUGGUGUAUGAAGAGUAUAUGACUUAUCUGAGGUCAUCUUCGGCGUAUCAGACAGCUAAGGAGAAAGUCGACGUUAAGAGACCCGUGCCAUGUUCAUGUUUCAUUGUUUUGUACGUAGUUCCAGCUUUAACGUGGAUCUAAUUAUUAAAUCUAUAUAAAAAGAGAUGAUGGCAAUAAUGUAAAUAAGAUACGUCUACAUCAGAAAAGGUUUUUCAUUCUUCAAUCUGAUAGGCCCAAUCAAAGCCCAAGACUUAAGUACUCGGGUGCUCCCAUCUCCAGCGGCUGAAUCCUGCUCAGCCAUCAUCUUAUCCUGAGAAGCAAUAAACGCAGAAAUAAUAUCGUUGGAGCCGAGUAAGCAAUCCUCCUUACUCAUGAUUGCUUUGCUGCUCUCCGUCUUGUCCAUUGAGACCUCGAGAUAGGAUUCGGUUUCAUAGGGAGGAUGAGAGUCCUUACGGGAAUCCUGCUUCCGCUUGUUUUCAACGAACCAAAGCGGUUGCUCCUUAUCCAUUAUUACUUUGCUGCUCGCCGGCUUGUCCAUGGUGCAUAAAGAAAAACCCCUAGGUUUUGUUGAGUGGCACGGAGAUUUGUAUAGGUUUUACUUUUACGAAUGGGCCCAACAGGCCCAAAGACAGCACAUAUAACAUUUUGAUUACUGUUGUUUUGGUUGAUACCAAUUAGGCAACAACAAUGAAAGGAACAUACCUAUCAUCAUUUUGCUGAUGUUUCGUGACUUUUACUGUCCAACAAAAUGCCAAAACGUUCACAGUUCGUAUAAUUUGGAAGAUAUCACAAGCGGCCAUGUAUACAAAUGUGUGUAUAUAUGCGUGUGCAGACGAGGAAGCAUCCCAAGAACUUUCAAACUUGUAUCUAUAUGAAAAGUCAUUUCUAAUGUCGCCUGUCGACUGUCGACAUAUCCAAAAACACCACAAUAAUUGAGGUGUAAAAAAAACCUAAAUUACCAUGUCAUCUUGUUUGAAACUAAAUAUAAAACUGAAACAAGAGUAUGUAUAAAGUAUUCGAAAUUGAAACAUUUUACCGAUCGAGGGUUAAUCUCUUUCCAUGUGAAGUACCAUUCGCUGACUAAGUUAAGAGUGCCAUGUGAAGUAUACCUUAUUAAAAUCAACAGAAUCUCAUAAAAACUUCAUUAUAAGAAUCAAACUAUACUUUCAAAUUAUUUCUGUCGUCCGUAACAUAAAAAAUUCUUAGAAAGCAUUUAUACUCCCGGCAGGAUUUUGAUUCUUUAGCAGCAAUCAUGCAUCAACGCGUUGCGUCAUAUAAAUUUAAUGCAUUGAUAAAAGUCUAUUUACUAACCAACUAAUAAACAAAUCUUGUGGUGGUCCGAUCAUUCUACACGUAUGUGUGUGGUUAGGAUUCGAGCAAGACUCGGCGUUUGUUGUGGUGCAUGUAUCUUUCGUUUUCUUCCAAUUUGGAAUUCGGCGGAAUCAAUAGGAUUUAGAGUAAAUAAUUACUUGUAAAAGAUUAAUAGAUAUAUUUUACCAAAAGAAAAAAAGAGAAAGAAACAUUGCCACAUUGGAGAUGGGGAGGGUCCAUAACUCCCUAGGCCACUGGUCGAGUGGAGUACAGUUGGUUGGCGCACUUACUCUUGACGAUGUUUGUGGACAUAGUCAUUCCAAAAUGUUCCAUUAUUUUUCUUUCUUUUUAAUCUGAAUUUUGUACCUAAAUGUAGACCAAUCAAACAUCGUUAGAACAUGUAAAAAUAAAUUCUUUGAUUAGAUGCAUGAAGUUAGAUUGGUUGACCAAAAUAAAAAGAAAAAAAUCUAAUUAGAACGUCGACCAACAUAUAUGAUGUAAUCAUAGUAGUUUAAUCCUUAAUUAUCUCCAUCUCGAGGAUUGUUAUUGGAUUGAGAUGAUUAAGGAUUAGAGAGCUAAUCGGUAGAUUUGGGAGGUAAGGAUCUUUCAAGUGAUUUAGCCGAGAUCGAGUCUUUCUCCUUCUCACCUAAAUGUUAGCUCAUUUCUAGCCUCCAUUCACGCAUUUGUAAGUUAAAGGAAAUUUGGUUUUUCAAAAAAAUUUUAUAUGUUUUGGAUAUAUAAACAAGUUAAUUCAACAAUUUAAAACAAACUCUCCAAAAUGGAUUCACUAAUGUUAGAUUUUUAAAGACGUUUUCAGAAAAAUAAAAAAAUAUAUAGCUAAGAUAAUACUAACAUGUUUG